CCUACGGGUGGCAGCAGUGGGGAAUUUUGGACAAUGGGCGAAAGCCUGAUCCAGCAAUGCCGCGUGUGUGAUGAAGGCCUUCGGGUUGUAAAGCACUUUUGGCGGGAACGAAAGGGACUGUGCCAAUACCACGGUUCGAUGACGGUACCCGCAGAAUAAGCACCGGCUAACUACGUGCCAGCAGCCGCGGUAAUACGUAGGGUGCAAGCGUUAAUCGGAAUUACUGGGCGUAAAGAGUGCGCAGGCGGUUUUGCAAGACCGAUGUGAAAUCCCCGGGCUUAACCUGGGAACUGCAUUGGUGACUGCAAGGCUAGAGUGUGUCAGAGGGAGGUGGAAUUCCGCAUGUAGCAGUGAAAUGCGUAGAUAUGCGGAGGAACACCGAUGGCGAAGGCAGCCUCCUGGGAUAACACUGACGCUCAUGCACGAAAGCGUGGGGAGCAAACAGGAUUAGAUACCCCAGUAGUC
rnacentral:rRNA from 1 species